CUUACAUAUGCUUAAGCCUCUCUGACAACGACCCACCUCCUAUACUUUUAGAGAACACAGCUGUGACUGUCACACCCUGCAUGAAAGAAAUGGCUUCACUUUAAAUCAUAUUGUAACUUAUUUUAAAAGUUUUUAUCUCCUGCUCUCCAAAUUGAACUUUAAUCACAUAUAGGAGGCUGCUGCAAGCAAGCCAUUAACAGAGCAGGAGAUAAGAAAUUUUAAAAAAAGGAAGUGUAAACAUUAGCUGACUCUUUACAGGAAGUGUUGUGUGAGUCACAUGCAGGGAGGUGUGACUAGGGCUAAAUAAACAAAGUGAUUUAACUCCUAAAUGGCAGAGAAUUGAGCAGUGAGACACAGG